CUCCCUCGUUGCUGACCCCAGGUUCGAUAGUGCCAAUUAGGCAUCACCUCGCCAAGAACCAACUUCGAUGAAGCGACGGGCGGUGUGUGCAAGG
rnacentral:rRNA from 1 species